rnacentral:rRNA from 1 species
AACGAACGCUGGCGGCAGGCUUAACACAUGCAAGUCGAGCGCGCUCUUUUAGAGCGAGCGGCAAACGGGUGAGUAACGCGUGGGAAUCUACCCAUUUCUACGGAAUAACACAGAGAAAUUUGUGCUAAUACCGUAUACGUCCCUUUAGGGAGAAAGAUUUAUCGGAGAUGGAUGAGCCCGCGUUGGAUUAGCUAGUUGGUGAGGUAACGGCUCACCAAGGCGACGAUCCAUAGCUGGUCUGAGAGGAUGAUCAGCCACACUGGGACUGAGACACGGCCCAGACUCCUACGGGAGGCAGCAGUGGGGAAUAUUGGACAAUGGGGGCAACCCUGAUCCAGCCAUGCCGCGUGAGUGAUGAAGGCCCUAGGGUUGUAAAGCUCUUUCACCGGUGAAGAUAAUGACGGUAACCGGAGAAGAAGCCCCGGCUAACUUCGUGCCAGCAGCCGCGGUAAUACGAAGGGGGCUAGCGUUGUUCGGAUUUACUGGGCGUAAAGCGCACGUAGGCGGAUAUUUAAGUCAGAGGUGAAAUCCCAGGGCUCAACCCUGGAACUGCCUUUGAUACUGGAUAUCUUGAGUGUGGAAGAGGUGAGUGGAAUUCCGAGUGUAGAGGUAAAAUUCGUAGAUAUUCGGAGGAACACCAGUGGCGAAGGCGGCUCACUGGUCCAUUACUGACGCUGAGGUGCGAAAGC